rnacentral:ncRNA from 2 species
CCAAUAGCGUAUAUUAAAGUUGUUGCAGUUAAAAAGCUCGUAGUUGAAUUUCGGGGUUAGUAGGUUGGUCAUGCCUCUGGUAUGUACUGGUCUCACUGAUUCCUCCUUCCUGAUGAACCUUAAUGCCAUUAAUUUGGUGUUUUGGGGAAUUUGGACUGUUACUUUGAAAAAAUUAGAGUGUUUAAAGCAAGCUAACGCUUGAAUACAUUAGCAUGGAAUAAGGAAAUAGGACGUUCGAUCCUAUUUUGUUGGUUUCUAGGAUUGACGUAAUGAUUAAUAGGGAUAGUUGGGGGCAUUAGUAUUCAAUUGUCAGAGGUGAAAUUCUUGGAUUUAUUGAAGACUAACUACUGCGAAAGCAUUUGCCAAGGAUGUUUUCAUUAAUCAAGAACGAAAGUUAGGGGAUCGAAGACGAUCAGAUACCGUCGUAGUCUUAACCAUAAACUAUGCCGACUAGGGAUCGGAUGAUGUUAAUUUUUUAAUGACUCAUUCGGCGCCUUACG